AUGAAUGUAAUAUUAUUUGUAUGGUGAGAUUAAAGGUUGGUCUUACAUAAUGUAAAAUUAAAUAUUGCGGCCUGUAAAUUUUGGGGGUACUACAGGCCAACAAAUAAUCAACAUUUUCGACUUUCGGUAGUUUAGAUCAAAUAAGAACGUUCAUCGUUUACUGCAAACUCUGCUUUCAAAGACCGAAAUUUUACUUAUUAUUUUGACCUAGAACAGUG